CCUACGGGGGGCUGCAGUGAGGAAUAUUGGUCAAUGGGCGGGAGCCUGAACCAGCCAAGUCGCGUGAGGGAAGACGGUCCUAUGGAUUGUAAACCUCUUUAGGCGGGGAGCAAUGCCGGGCACGUGUGCCCGGAGGGAGAGUACCCGCAGAAUAAGCAUCGGCUAACUCCGUUCCAGCAGCCGCGGUAAUACGGAGGAUGCGAGCGUUAUCCGGUUUUAUUGGGUUAAAGGGGUGCGGAGGCGGAUUUUUAUGUCAGCGGUAAAAUGUCCGGGCUCAACCCGGGCCGGCCGUUGAAACUGGGGAUCUUGAGUGGGCGAGAAGUGUGCGGAAUGCGUGGUGUAGCGGUGAAAUGCAUAGAUAUCACGAGGAACUCCGGUUGCGAAGGCGGCAUACCGGCGCCCAACUGACGCUGAGGCACGAAAGCGUGGGGAUCGAACAGGAUUAGAUACCCCUGUAGUC
rnacentral:rRNA from 1 species